GCUCAGAACGAACGCUGGCGGCGUGCUUCACACAUGCAAGUCGAACGAACCUUCGGGUUAGUGGCGGACGGGUGAGUAACGCGUGAGAAUCUGCCCUCAGGAGGGGGAUAACGGUUGGAAACGACCGCUAAUACCCCAUAUGCCGAGAGGUGAAAAGAAAUUCGCCUGAGGAUGAGCUCGCGUCUGAUUAGCUAGUUGGUGUGGUAAUGGCGCACCAAGGCUUCGAUCAGUAGCUGGUCUGAGAGGAUGAUCAGCCACACUGGGACUGAGACACGGCCCAGACUCCUACGGGAGGCAGCAGUGG
rnacentral:rRNA from 1 species